rnacentral:rRNA from 1 species
GUCUACGGCCACGCCACCCUGAACGUGCCCGAUCUCGUCUGAUCUCGGAAGCUAAGCAGGGCCGGGCCUGGUUAGUACCUGGAUGGGAGACCACCUAGGAAGACCCCGUGAUGUAGGUG